rnacentral:rRNA from 1 species
UACGUAGGGGGCGAGCGUUGUCCGGAUUUAUUGGGCGUAAAGAGCGUGUAGGCGGCCAGGUAGGUCUGCUGUGAAAACUCGAGGCUCAACCUCGAGACGUCGGCGGAAACCAUCUGGCUAGAGUCCGGAAGAGGUGAGUGGAAUUCCCAGUGUAGCGGUGAAAUGCGUAGAUAUUGGGAGGAACACCAGUGGCGAAGGCGGCUCACUGGACCGGUACUGACGCUGAUGCGCGAAAGCGUGGGGAGCAAACGGG